GUCGUAACAAGGUAGCCGUACCGGAAGGUGCGGCUGGAUCACCUCCUUUCUAAGGAGCAUUCUC
rnacentral:rRNA from 1 species